AAAGCAUAGCUACAGCUGGUUGAAGGGGACCAAAUCCAUUCAAGAGGUGAUUUGGUUCCUUUUUACCAGCUUUAGCAAAGCAUUAGG
rnacentral:pre_miRNA from 1 species